rnacentral:rRNA from 1 species
AAUAUUGGACAAUGGGCGAAAGCCUGAUCCAGCCACGCCGCGUGUAUGAAGAAGGUCUUCGGAUUGUAAAGCACUUUAAGUUGGGAGGAAGGGCUGUCGGUAAAUACCUUGCUGUUUUUGCGUUACCGACAGAAUAAGCACCGGCUAACUUCGUGCCAGCAUCCGCGGUAAGACGAAGGGUGCAAGCGUUAAUCGGAAUUACUGUACGUAAAGCACGCGUAGGUGGUUUGUUAAUGUGGAAGUGAAAGCCCCGGGCUCAAACUGGGAACUGCUUUCAAAACUGGCAGGCUAGAGUAGUGCAGAGGGUGGUGGAAUUUCCUGUGUAGCGGUGAAAUGCGUAGAUCUAGGAAGGAACACCAGUGGCGAAGGCGACCACCUGGGCUAAUACUGACACUGAGGUGCGAAAGCGUGGGGAGCAAACA